rfam:Drosophila melanogaster nanos (nos) gene, complete cds.
UGGAGCAGAGGCUCUGGCAGCUUUUGCAGCGUUUAUAUAACAUGAAAUAUAUAUACGCAUUCCG